GGAAGAGCCUGGGGCUGGGAGGGGGGAGGAAGGGGCGGAGCUACCGCCCUCUGCACAGAGCCGGCAGCCAGAAGCUCCAGCGAUCCUGCAGCAGCACAGAUACGGGAGCCCAAGAACCGUCACGGCGUGGUGUGGGUAGACAACUCCACACCGAACACAAGAGGAAAGGAAAAAGGAACUAGGCCAGGAACCUAGAAAAGGGGAAAAGUCACCACUUAGCGAAUCCCUAAACUGAGCUCUGACUUCUAUCAGUAUGAACAGACCUUGAAGGGGGUCAUGGCUCAUGGAGUUGACUGUUUUUCAGGAAGCGCAAUAAGAACAUUUACAGAGCUACAGACCCGGGUAUUGUUCUACCACUGUGCUUGGAACAGUACUAGUGUAAUCUUGAAUUGUCAUGCGUUACCUUGUUCCUAAACAUGGGCUUGACUCAUUUGUUUUUUUUUUACCAUGAAAUCAAAAACAGUCUUCAAUGGCUUUUAAAAGGUAUGCUUCCUCCUUCUGUAAUUUCAAUAAACACAUCCACAUCUUUUAACAAUUUAAAGGGAGUCUGUCAACGUUUUUUGCAAUAUU